rnacentral:rRNA from 1 species
UACGUAGGGUGCAAGCGUUAUCCGGAAUUAUUGGGCGUAAAGAGCUCGUAGGCGGUUUGUCGCGUCUGCUGUGAAAACUGGAGGCUCAACCUCCAGCCUGCAGUGGGUACGGGCAAACUAGAGUGCGGUAGGGGGAGAUUGGAAUUCCUGGUGUAGCGGUGAAAUGCGCAGAUAUCAGGAGGAACACCGGUGGCGAAGGCGGGUCUCUGGGCCGAUACUGACACUGAGGAGCGAAAGCGUGGGGAGCGAACAGG